UACAGAGACCUCAAGCGUUAUCCGGAAUCAUUGGGCGUAAAGCGUACCGAUAGGUGGUUUUGAAAGUUUUGGGUAAAAGCCAGAAGCUCAACUUCUGAGUUUGCUCAAAAUACUGCAAGACUAGAGGGGCAAAGAGGUGCUUGGAACGAACGGUGUAGUAGUGAAAUGCGUUGAUAUCGUUCGGAACACCAAAAGCGAAGGCAGAGCACUGGGUGCGACCUGACACUGCUAGGACGAAAGCGUGGGGAGCGAAUGGG
rnacentral:rRNA from 1 species